UACGUAGGGGGCAAGCGUUGUCCGGAGUUACUGGGCGUAAAGCGCACGCAGGCGGUCGAUUAAGUUUGGAGUGACAGUUGGUGGCUUAACUGCCAAAGUGCUUUGAAAACUGAUCGACUUGAGGGCUUCAGAGGGACACGGAAUUCCGGGUGGAGUGGUGAAAUGCGUAGAGAUCCGGAGGAACACCGAAGGCGAAGGCAGCGUCCUGGGGAGUACCUGACGCUCAGGUGCGAAAGCCAGGGGAGCGAACGGG
rnacentral:rRNA from 1 species